UAGGGAGAACACAGAGUGGUAGGACAUGAAACAGGUGGCUGAGUUGGAUAGCCUACACUUUCUACAUUUGCCAAAGCCAAAAAUGAGUCUUCUUUCAGAAGGGCAGAAGAAAGAGAGAGAGAACAUGCAUGCCUCAGAGGUUUAUCUGAAAGAGUACAAAGACUGAGUAGAAAGAAGCUAAAGAAAAGCAGAUAUCUGGGAACUUAAAGAGGAGAUGUACAACUAGAAGGAAUAUAGAAAUAGUUGUAAGAGAGAGAUCUCAAGAGAUCAGGGUGAACAGGUGUGGAAGAAGGUACCAACAUAAUCUAUGAAAGCACCCACAAGAACAAGAGUCAAUAUUAAACAACAUUUAUGGCCAGAGAAAAUUACAAAAUUG
rnacentral:lncRNA from 1 species